UGUUCCCACCACCAAAUCCAUAGUUACCCUCCAAGUUGAAAUCUUAUCAUAUUUAACUGGUUCCACAUAAACAGAUCUGUGUAUAUUUUCAGUAGUUUCAGCUGAAACCUGUUAAGAACAGAUGUGCAGAUGGUCGCCCAGCACUGAUCCAUUUAAAUGUAGUUUUCCACGAGCAGCGUUUUCCCUCUGCCCUUCCUUGAGGGGGGAAGAAUAAGAAAGUGGGACCGUUAUUAAGAUGGAUAUUACACGCUUCUGAGUCUCUGCAACCAGCGUUUGCUGUCGGUUUUCCAACAGCAAUGUGGCUCACGAGGCUGUGAGCACAGGGUGUGCCUAUAAUGGACGAUGUUUGACCCCGUGUGGCUGGGAGGAUGGGCCCUUAGCUCUCUCUGGCUGCCACCCAUGUAAGGGUGCUUUCCCGGCUGCUGGGGAGUCAAGCAGCCCCUGUCCGAAGGCUGGAGUAAGUAAGUUAUUCACCUCUUUGACCCUUUAGUUUUUUUAAGCAGAAAAAAAAAGGUGAGGGGGGAUAUAAAAGGACUCCUACAACUCAGCAACAACCAAAAUCAAAUCAUCUGAUUUCUAACUGGGCAAAGGACUUGAAAGGCUAUUUCUCCAAAGGAGACAAAUGGCCAAGAAGCCAUGAAAAGAUGGUCAGCAUCACUGAGAAUUAGGGAAAUGCAAAUCAAAACUAUAAGGAGAUAUCGCCUCACACCCAUGAAGAGGGUUAGUAUUAAAUUUUUAAAAAAAAAACAGAAAAUCACAAGUAUUGGCAAGGAUGUGGAGAAAUUGGAACCCUCAUACACUGCUGGUGGGAAAUGGAGGUAUGGAGGUUCCUCAAAAAAUUAAAAAUAGAACGACCAUAUAUGAUUCAGCAAUUCCUCUUCCGGGUAUAUAGCCAAAAGCUUUGAAAGCAAGAUUGCAAAGAGACUUUUUCGCACUCAUGAUUAUAGCAGCAGUAUUGGCAGUAGCCAAAAGGCGGAAGCAACCCAUGUAUCCAUCAACAGAUGAAUGGAUAAUCAAACGUGCUCCGUCCAUACAAUGGAAUAUUAUUCAGCCUUUAAAAGGGAAUUUGGACACGCACUACAGCAGAGGUGAACCUCAAGGGCAUUACGCCAAUUCAACUAAGCCAGUCGUCAAAAGACAAAUCCUGUAUGAUUCCACUUACAUGAGCUGGGACCUGGUGGUGGUAUGUCCUGGGUCCUGAGAGCAGCACGAGGCUUGGAGGCCCUGGCAGAGAGAUCUUCAGCAAGACAGGCAUCUCUGCUACCCGACAGGAGGAGACCCCCAGCAGGGCUUGGACUCAUCUGAAUAGAAAGACGAGCAGCUGGCUUGGGAGAUGGGCAAAGCGAGGAGCUGGAGGGGAUAGGACACGGCUGAAGGCUGAGGCGUGCAGCCUCCAGCAUCUCUCUUCUUUACGAACUGGAUCCCUACAAGGAGAUUCUCAAGCUGAAGUCUGGGAAGACAGGAGGAAGUUGCAGAAGUACCUCCAAACCGUUGAUUCUGGGGCCUGGUGAGGGGAAUCUGCCAGCAUUCACUGCAGACUCCACCCGGACCCACUGGAAUGAAGAUUUUCCCAAGGAUGGGUUAAGAGCCACCUCCAGGGGUGGCUGUACUCGUCGGCGUUGAUCUGACAGUCACCGACUUCUCUCUUUGCCAAGAUUCCCUCCACCCACUUAUGAGACCAAAAUUCCCCCUUUACCACCUUCUCCUUCUUGUUGCCCCAGAAUGGGGGAACUCACGGUGAGCACACGGGGACACAGGUCCAAAAAUAGACUAGACAAAUGGCAGCAGGAAGAGAACUGCAAAGGGGUUGAUGAUUGCAUCAGUUAUCAGCACGAGUGCAGCUCUGAACGUCCUGGUAAGGAAAGGGAAAAAGAAAGGAAAACAGGAUGGUAUGCGGCCCUUAUUGUCUAAUAAAGGAAAACACACCAGUUCUUCGGGGAACUUUUUUUUUCCCUGGCAACGAAUUCUUGGAAGAAUUUAUGUGACAGAACGCUGCAGGGAAGCAUCCUUGUGUUGGGAAGGAAGCCACCUAGUCUGAGGGGCUUUGGAAAUUCCAGGCGUGUACAUGGGACAGGGGCCAGGCCAGGCCGCCAUCAUGGUCCAGCAGGCUCCAGGGAGGGAGGUGCUGGCGGGGUGGGGGGGUGAU